rnacentral:lncRNA from 1 species
CAACAUCUUCCACCAGGCGCGUUUCUUCAGGCAGCAGACAGACCCUGGCGGCAAGGAGUCCUGGGUCAGCAACGACACCUACUGGAAGCUGCGGGCAGAGCCUGGCUAUGCCAACCUCGACAGCCCCGUGCUGUGGUAGCAGCGGGCAUCCCGGGGGCCGCCCUGCCUUCCAGGCACAUAGGGACUAGUGGGCAGGGUCUGGGGGCACCACAGCGCUGGACAUAUGCAAGGAGGGCAGGGCACUGGAUCCCAGCUGCCCCCUCCGGGGUCUGCUGGGACGUUAGGCCAGGUGCCGCGGCAGUGCCCCCCCGUGAACAGGGUGUGAAAGGUGUCCUGGCCCUUCCCGGGUCCACCCUGCUCCCAUCCCAUGCCCAUCGCUGCUGUCUGCUGGCUGGACAGCCUGCCCCUGCUGGCACCUCGAGGACUGCUGGGGGUGCCAACCCCUUGCACGUAUUUCUGCCUUCCCCCCACAGGGGGCACCAUGAUCUGGUGGGGGGGGGGAGUGGGAGGAAGCUUUUAUUUUUCAAAUUCUUUGUAUUAAUUUAAACAAAACUGUGCAGACAGGGGCCUGAAUCCGGGCAAGUGAACUGCAGCAAAUGAGACUGUGUGCAUAGCAGGGGGCCGGAUCUUCCUGCACGGAAAAGCCAUUCCUCAGCAUAGCCCUGGCCUUGGAGCCGGGAGCAGCCAGGCGAUGACCUGAGCAGCUGUGUUACCUAAUGGUUGGACCCAGGACUCCUGGGUUCCAUUCCCAGCUCCAGGACGGGCGUGGAGUCCAGGGGUUAGAGCUGAGGAGAUUUGGGAGGUUUGGUUCCAGGCUCACCCAGGGCUGUACGGAUGGGUGAGGAGUGGGGCAGGACGUGGGCGUUAAUGACUGACGGUCCGUAGAGCCAUCGUGCACCCAUCUGUUCCAGGGAUGGCGUGUUCUGUGCCGGUGAGCUGGGAGUUGUUCUCCUUGGGCCCCUGAAUCUGCUCAGGGCCUUUGGCAGUCCUUUUCUUCCGUUUUUGGGAGGCCGUGGGGGGCAUGUUCAGAAAGCACCCCUGGGGCUCUGAUGCUUUGGGGGGUGUCCUGGGAAGAAGCUGCUGGAGUGCUCCCGUCACUUACCUGCAGGGAGCAAUGUGGAGCUGGGAGGAAGGCGGCCAGCAUGGGGGGCAGGGAUCCCCCAUGUGGCUUGGGGUCAGCCUGCAGGUGGGCAGACCCUGCGCCCUCCCUCCAGGCCCCGUCUGGCUGGGUUUGGCCAUUUCUUUGAUGAAACAUUCCACACUUCUAAUAAAGGAUCUGG